GUCUACGGCCAUACCACCCUGAACGUGCCUGAUCUCAUCUGAUCUCGGAAGCUAAGCAGGGUCGGGCCUGGUUAGUACUUGGAUGGGAAUCAAGGUAACUCUGGUCUCAUAGAAU
ensembl:rRNA 5S_rRNA 5S ribosomal RNA